UACGUAGGGAGCAAGCGUUGUCCGGAAUCAUUGGGCGUAAAGGGCGCGUAGGCGGCUACGCACGUCCGUUGUGAAAUCGCUCGGCUCAACUGGGCGGGGUCAGCGGAUACGGUGUAGCUGGAGCAAGCUAGGGGGCAAUGGAAUUCCCGGUGUAGUGGUGGAAUGCGUAGAUAUCGGGAGGAACACCAGUGGCGAAGGCGGUUGCCUGGAGCUUUGCUGACGCUGAUGCGCGAAAGCGUGGGGAGCGAUCCGG
rnacentral:rRNA from 1 species